rnacentral:rRNA from 2 species
UACGGAGGGUGCAAGCGUUAUCCGGAUUUAUUGGGUUUAAAGGGUCCGUAGGUGGGCUGAUAAGUCAGCGGUGAAAUCCUGCAGCUUAACUGUAGAACUGCCGUUGAUACUGUUAGUCUUGAGUGUAUUUGAAGUGGCUGGAAUAAGUAGUGUAGCGGUGAAAUGCAUAGAUAUUACUUAGAACACCAAUUGCGAAGGCAGGUCACUAAGAUACAACUGACGCUGAGGGACGAAAGCGUGGGGAGCGAAC